rnacentral:rRNA from 1 species
GACGAACGCUGGCGGCGUGCUUAACACAUGCAAGUCGAACGGAGAGGCCCUGCUUUUGUGGGGUGCUCGAGUGGCGAACGGGUGAGUAACACGUGAGUAACCUGCCCUUGACUUUGGGAUAACUUCAGGAAACUGGGGCUAAUACCGGAUAGGAGCUCCUGCUGCAUGGUGGGGGUUGGAAAGUUUCGUCGGUUGGGGAUGGACUCGCGGCUUAUCAGCUUGUUGGUGGGGUAGUGGCUUACCAAGGCUUUGACGGGUAGCCGGCCUGAGAGGGUGACCGGCCACAUGGGGACUGAGAUACGGCCCAGACUCCUACGGGAGGCAGCAGUGGGGAAUAUUGCACAAUGGGCGGAAGCCUGAUGCAGCAACGCCGCGUGCGGGAUGACGGCCUUCGGGUUGGAAACCGCUUUCGCCUGUGACGAAGCGUGAGUGACGGUAAUGGGUAAAGAAGCACCGGCUAACUACGUG